rnacentral:rRNA from 1 species
CCUACGGGAGGCAGCAGUGGGGAAUCUUGCGCAAUGGGCGAAAGCCUGACGCAGCCAUGCCGCGUGAAUGAUGAAGGUCUUAGGAUUGUAAAAUUCUUUCACCGGGGACGAUAAUGACGGUACCCGGAGAAGAAGCCCCGGCUAACUUCGUGCCAGCAGCCGCGGUAAUACGAAGGGGGCUAGCGUUGCUCGGAAUUACUGGGCGUAAAGGGAGCGUAGGCGGAUAGUUUAGUCAGAGGUGAAAGCCCAGGGCUCAACCUUGGAAUUGCCUUUGAUACUGGCUAUCUUGAGUAUGGGAGAGGUAUGCGGAACUCCGAGUGUAGAGGUGAAAUUCGUAGAUAUUCGGAAGAACACCAGUGGCGAAGGCGGCAUACUGGCCCAUUACUGACGCUGAGGCUCGAAAGCGUGGGGAGCAAACAGGAUUAGAUACCCUGGUAGUCCACGCUGUAAACGAUGAGUGCUAGUUGUCGGCAUGCAUGCAUGUCGGUGACGCGAGCUACGACAUAAGUACACUCCGCCGUCGGGGUAGGUACGGUCGGCGAAGAAGUUAAAACGUAACAAUAGUAAGUUAGUACGGCGUGAGACGUGACCGACGGACGACGACGAGGGAGGAGGG